AGCGAACGCUGGCGGCAGGCCUAACACAUGCAAGUCGAACGAAGUCUUCGGACUUAGUGGCGGACGGGUGAGUAACACGUGGGAACGUACCUUUUGGUUCGGAAUAACGCAGGGAAACUUGCGCUAAUACCGAAUGUGCCCUUAGGGGGAAAGAUUUAUCGCCAUUAGAGCGGCCCGCGUUGGAUUAGGUAGUCGGUGUGGUAAAGGCGCACCAAGCCUACGAUCCAUAGCUGGUCUGAGAGGAUGAUCAGCCACACUGGGACUGAGACACGGCCCAGACUCCUACGGGAGGCAGCAGUGGGGAAUCUUGCGCAAUGGUCGAAAGACUGACGCAGCCAUGCCGCGUGAAUGACGAAGGUCUUAGGAUUGUAAAAUUCUUUUAGCAGGGACGAUAAUGACGGUACCUGCAGAAAAAGCCCCGUCUAACUUCGUGCCAGCCGCCGCCGUAAAAC
rnacentral:rRNA from 1 species